UUUUUUUUCUGAUUGCAGAGGUCAUAUGUAUUCUGUGUGGAGAAUUUGGAAGAUGAAGAAAAGUACAAAUCCUAUCAACCGUAACAUCUCCUGCAUUUCAUAAAACAAUGAUAUCACUCUCAAAUGUGUAAAUGAGAGGCUUAUUUUAAGAACACAAUUUUUCUUUUCCAUUAAAUUUGCAUCUAGUAGAGUAAGCUUAGGGAGAAAUUAGCCCUUCUGAUUGUUAUUUAGCAUUAUUUUACUUUGUGUUUACUUACACACAUUUUUUUUUUUUAAUGGCCACACCAGCAGCAUAUGGAAAUUCCAGGGCCAGGGGUUGAAUCUGAGCUGCAGCUGUGGAAAUGCCAGAUCCUUUUAAAACCACUGUGCCAGGCCAGGGAUUAAGCCUGAAGUGUCUCAGCAGCUAUCCGAGCCAAUGCCGUCACAUUCUUAACCCACUGGGCCGCAGCGGGAACUCCUUCCUUACAUUAUUAUUACAUUAUUAUUACUAAAAGUAAACUCUCUUCCCGGAGCACUUAGCAUGUGUGGGGCAGAAUGCUAAGCACAGCACAUGAAUUAUCUCACUUUGUCCUCCCAAGAAACCCAGAAGAUUGGCAUGAAUUCCGUUAACUUAAUACAGGUGGGUUAGUGGAAGAAUCAGAGUGAUUAUAUAAGGCAGCCAAGGUCCCUCAGCUGGUAAUGUGGGAAACCAGGAUUCAUACCCAAUCCUCUGCAAUCAUUCCACUCCCUCAUCGGGGAAAGGAACGGAGGGAAGGAGGGAAUUUAUGGAACCUCGCCUUGUCAGUCCUGGUGCUGGUUGCGUGCCUUGCUGAUCGUGUUCAAUCUUCACAGCCCCACAAGUUUCACUAG
rnacentral:lncRNA from 1 species